ensembl:snRNA U2 U2 spliceosomal RNA
AUCACUUCUCAGCCUUUUGGCUAAGAUCAAGUGUAGUAUAUGAUAACAUUUGCAUAAAUUUCAAACAGUAACAAAACAAAU